CCCGCUGAACUUAAGCAUAUCACUNAUCGGGC
rnacentral:rRNA from 1 species